UGACGCAGGAAGGAGCCCUCUCACCAUCAUGUCUCCUCACCUCCUCUGGCCGCUAAUAUUGCUGAAGUGGCUAAAUGAGUCCCAGUAUUAAUUAUCUCAGCCAUUUUCAGAGUGAUACUGAGAAGAAAUGAAAUGGAGAUAGGGAAGAAGGAAGCCGCUCCUCUCUACAGGAUGCCAAAUCAAUGCAGGAGGAGAUUCUGAGAACUACUGGACAACGGCCACAGGGGAACAGGGGAUUCAUUCCAUCUCAAAGCCUCACCCUACACAUUAUCUUUAUUAGCUAUAAAAGGGAAAAGGGAUUUGCAAUGGAGAGUUAUGGCAGACUCCAGCCUCAUGAAGUGACACAACUUAGCAUUGCCACCCAGGGGACAAACCCACACUAUGAGUCUGAUUCAGUGCACCAAGAAGGACAAACAUCACUUACUCUGCUAUAACAUAACGCAGUAUAUUAUACACUAACAUAUGUAGUAUAUUACAUUACAUAAUAACAUAGUACAGGCUUCUAGGACACAGUUUAUAGAAGUGCAGAUAAUACUUGAGGCAGUUUCCCAAACUUGCAAAUAAAAACUCUCCACAGGGCUUGUGACUAGCACAUUCCCAAAGCCCCAAACCCAGAAUUCCACCUGCUUAGUGAGCACCUCCAGAGCACUUUUUUUUUUUUUUUUUUUUGAGACGGAGUUUUGCUCUUGUUGCCCAGGCUGGAGUGCAAUGGCAGGAUCUCGGCUCACUGCAACCUCCACCUCCCAGGUUCAAGCGAUUCUCGUGCCUCAGCCUCCUGAGCAGCUGGGAUUACAGGCACCCACCUAAUUUUUGUAUUUUUAGUAGAGAUGGAGUUUCACCAUGUUGGUCAGGCUGGUCUUGAACUCCCAACCUCAGGUGAUCCACCCACCUUGGCCUCCCAAAGUGCUAGGAUUACAGGCACGAGCCACUGCGCUCGGCCAUCUCUAGGGCAUAUUUUUACUGUGCAAUGUGGGAAUCUCUGCCAUAGGGUGGGCUGCCUUUCUAACCCAGUGGCCCGGUUCUAGCAGGACUUCCCCAGUAUGUGGAUGGGGGCACAGGGACUCUUGGGGGGGCCUCAAGGCAUCUGUGAGCUAGGCCUAACCACCGCUACUGAAUGACUGCGAGAUGAGUCCCAGAGCUGGGACGAGAGUGGGCCUGGUACCCUGCCCCAGCCCUCCCCUGACAGGAGUUAGUAAGGGACAGGUUAGCAUGCUAAAGAGAUAGCAAGCUGGUCACAGCCUAGGGCCACCACCCUUCUGUCUUACAAGUCAGAAACAUGUCCUGACUUUGGGGGAGAGGGUAUAUGUUAAACGGGCCCACCCUGGGAGCUGUAGUGGUCACUGUGGAGCUGAGCACUGGGCUGCACUCCUCGCUGCCCCAGAGUGACCAGGUGGGUGGUUUCAUCCAAGAGGCAGGGCUCAGAAGGCCAGGCUGAGCCACCGAUAUGCAUGUCUGCACCCCACCACUUCCUGCUCAGUCUGUAUCAGGCCCGGGAUGAAAUCGUCACUUAGACGCUCAGGGGUCCUCCCACCCAUCUGGCCAACACAAACCUGCCAGCAUAGCACUGAGUGGAAGGUUCCAGUGCACCCACAGGCCUGGCUGUUAAAAUGUCCGGCCUCUCCAGAGGACAGGUUAAGUUCACACUGAGAAAGCCUGGCUCUCUCCAGCUAGCCUGAAUUAAAGUGAGAAGGAUGAGCACAGCACCUGUGGAAAUGGCGCUGGAAAGCAAGUGUACCUAGGAACUGCCUCUGGGCCACCGAAGUGCGCCGGCCCAGUGUUCUCAGACAACCCAGGAGGAGUCCUCCAUCUGGCCACUUCCCACCCGUUAGGCCCCGAGGGGACACCAGGUUGGUGAGACCCGGACCCCACCAGCAAAGGACCCUUCCUUCAUUCAUCACACACUGGCUCCAUCUGCACUGCACCUACUGCCAGCCAGGCACUGAGCUUCACAUCCGCACAAAACACAAAGACCUCUGAUACGGUUUGGGUCUGUGUUCCCACCUAAACCUCGUGGUGAAUUGUGAUUAUGUUGAGUUGUUUUGGAGGUAGGGCCUGGUGAGAAGUGACUCGAUGAUGGGGUGGAUUUCUCAUGAAUGGUUUAGCACCAUCUCCUUGAUGCUGUUCUUAAGAUAGUGAGUUUUCACGAAAUCUGGUUGUUUAAAAGUGUGCGCCCCACCCCUUGCUUCUGCUCUGGCCAUGUGAUCUGCCUGCCUUCCCCUUCGCCUUCCACCAUGAUUGUAAGAUUCCUGAGGCCUCCCCAGAGGCUGAGCAGAUAUCGGUACUACGCUUGCUAUACAGCCUGCAGAACUAUGAGCCAAUUAAACCUCUUUUCUUU
rnacentral:lncRNA from 1 species